UCCCUGGUAGUAUAUCGGUUAGUACACGCGCCUGUCAUGUGUGCGCUCUUUCACCGCGCGAAAGCUGGGUUCGACUCCCAGCCAGGGAG
rnacentral:tRNA from 1 species